rnacentral:rRNA from 1 species
CACCUACGGGAGGCAGCAGUGGGGAAUAUUGGACAAUGGGGGCAACCCUGAUCCAGCCAUGCCGCGUGAGUGAUGAAGGCCCUAGGGUUGUAAAGCUCUUUCGGUGGGGAAGAUAAUGACGGUACCCACAGAAGAAGCCCCGGCUAACUUCGUGCCAGCAGCCGCGGUAAUACGAAGGGGGCUAGCGUUGCUCGGAAUCACUGGGCGUAAAGCGCACGUAGGCGGCUUUCUAAGUCAGGGGUGAAAUCCCGGAGCUCAACUCCGGAACUGCCUUUGAUACUGGGAGGCUCGAGUCCGGGAGAGGUGAGUGGAACUGCGAGUGUAGAGGUGAAAUUCGUAGAUAUUCGCAAGAACACCAGUGGCGAAGGCGGCUCACUGGCCCGGUACUGACGCUGAGGUGCGAAAGCGUGGGGAGCAAACAGGAUUAGAUACCCUUGUAGUC